rnacentral:rRNA from 1 species
UCCGGUUGAUCCUGCCGGACCCCACUGCUAUCGGGGUGGGACUAAGACAUGCUAGUCGUGCGCCUCCAAGCCACGGUGGAGGCGCGGCGCACAGCUCAGUAACACGUGGCUAACCUACCCUUGGGACAGGGACAACCCCGGGAAACUGGGGCUAAUCCCCGAUAGGUGAGGACUCCUGGAAUGGGUCCUCGCUGAAAGGGCGUCUAGACCAUGCUUCUAGACGCUGCCCAAGGAUGGGGCCGCGGCCGAUCAGGUUGUUGGUGAGGUAACGGCUCACCAAGCCUAAGACCGGUACGGGCCGUGAGAGCGGGAGCCCGGAGAUGGACACUGAGACAAGGGUCCAGGCCCUACGGGGCGCAGCAGUCGCGAAACCUCCGCAAUACGCGAAAGCGUGACGGGGCCACCCCGAGUGCCGUCCGCUGAGGACGGCUUUUCCCCAGUGUAGACAGCUGGGGGAAUAAGGGGAGGGCAAGUCGGGUGUCAGCCGCCGCGGUAAUACCCGCUCCCCGAGUGGUGGGGACGCUUAUUGGGCCUAAAGCAUCCGUAGCCGGCUGGACAAGUCCCCUGUUAAAUCCAGCGAUUUAAUCGCUGGACUGCGGGGGAUACUGUCCAGCUAGGGGGCGGGAGAGGCCGGCGGUAUUCCCGGGGUAGGGGUGAAAUCUUAUAAUCCCGGGGGGACCACCAGUGGCGAAGGCUGCCGGCUGGAACGCGCCCGACGGUGAGGGAUGAAAGCUGGGGGAGCGAACCGGAUUAGAUACCCGGGUAGUCCCAGCUGUAAACGAUGCGGGCUAGGUGUUGGCACGGCUACAAGCCGUGUCAGUGCCGCAGGGAAGCCGUUAAGCCCGCCGCCUGGGGAGUACGGCCGCAAGGCUGAAACUUAAAGGAAUUGGCGGGGGAGCACCACAAGGGGUGAAGCUUGCGGUUUAAUUGGAGUCAACGCCGGG